rnacentral:rRNA from 1 species
AUUGAACGCUGGCGGCAGGCUUAACACAUGCAAGUCGAGCGGGGGAAGGUAGCUUGCUACCGGACCUAGCGGCGGACGGGUGAGUAAUGCUUAGGAAUCUGCCUAUUAGUGGGGGACAACAUCUCGAAAGGGAUGCUAAUACCGCAUACGUCCUACGGGAGAAAGCAGGGGAUCUUCGGACCUUGCGCUAAUAGAUGAGCCUAAGUCGGAUUAGCUAGUUGGUGGGGUAAAGGCCUACCAAGGCGACGAUCUGUAGCGGGUCUGAGAGGAUGAUCCGCCACACUGGGACUGAGACACGGCCCAGACGCCUACGGGAGGCAGCAGUGGGGAAUAUUGGACAAUGGGGGGAGCCCUGAUCCAGCCAUGCCGCGUGUGUGAAGAAGGCCUUAUGGUUGUAAAGCACUUUAAGCGAGGAGGAGGCUACUCUAGUUAAUACCUAGGGAUAGUGGACGUUACUCGCAGAAUAAGCACCGGCUAACUCUGUGCCAGCAGCCGCAGUAA